rnacentral:rRNA from 1 species
GAUGAACGCUGGCGGCGUGCCUAAUACAUGCAAGUCGAGCGAACAGACGAGGAGCUUGCUCCUCUGACGUUAGCGGCGGACGGGUGAGUAACACGUGGAUAACCUACCUAUAAGACUGGGAUAACUUCGGGAAACCGGAGCUAAUACCGGAUAAUAUAUUGAACCGCAUGGUUCAAUAGUGAAAGACGGUUUUGCUGUCACUUAUAGAUGGAUCCGCGCCGCAUUAGCUAGUUGGUAAGGUAACGGCUUACCAAGGCAACGAUGCGUAGCCGACCUGAGAGGGGGAUCGGCUACACUGGAACUGAGACACGGUCCAGACUCCUACGGGAGGCAGCAGUAGGGAAUCUUCCGCAAUGGGCGAAAGCUUGACGGAGCAACGCCGCGUGAGUGAUGAAGGUCUUCGGAUCGUAAAACUCUGUUAUUAGGGAAGAACAAAUGUGUAAGUAACUAUGCACGUCUUGACGGCACCUAAUCAGAAAGCCACGGCUAACUACGUG